AAAUCGGUUCUUCUCAGAACCACAACCUUUGUUAGUCACAUCUCAU
rfam:Agrilus planipennis Contig13704, whole genome shotgun sequence.